rnacentral:rRNA from 1 species
UACGUAGGGUGCAAGCGUUAAUCGGAAUUACUGGGCGUAAAGCGUGCGUAGACGGUUAUGUAAGUCAGGUGUGAAAGCCCCGGGCUCAACCUGGGAAUUGCAUUUGAGACUGCAUAGCUAGGGUGCGGAAGAGGGAAGCGGAAUUUCCGGUGUAGCGGUGAAAUGCGUAGAUAUCAGAAGGAACACCAGUGGCGAAAGCGGCUUCCUGGUCCAGCACCGACGUUCAGGCACGAAAGCGUGGGGAGCAAACAGG